rnacentral:tRNA from 1 species
GGAGAGAUGGCCGAGUGGCUGAAGGCGCACGCUUGGAAAGCGUGUAUACGGGAAACUGUAUCCAGGGUUCGAAUCCCUGUCUCUCCGCCA